rnacentral:lncRNA from 1 species
UCUCUCACUUCCCCUAACCCUUUCUCAGAGAUCACCGCCUUCCAUUGUCCGCCGCGGUUCGGAAAUCGCCUCCGCCGGCAGCGACUCUCCAAAGAGCCCCAAAUUUACACCACAGUAUCCUCUCACCCUCCUCUCUCUAAAUCCCCAAACCCCAUCCCUCAAAUCUCUGCAUAAUUCUCGAAUAUUGAUUUGAAAAUUCGGCCAAAGCAUACCACCUCCAAACUUCACCAAAUUAACACCACAUGAUCUCCUUACACCCCUCAUCCCAAAUCCACAACCCUUAGCCUUCAAAUCAUCCCCGUUUGGUUCAAAUCUCAGAUCGAAUUUUGGCCGAAAAUCAUAAUUUCUUAAUGUUUGGAGAUUUGUUAAUUUUGGGCUAUAAUAGCCUUUAAUCAUGUGUUUUCUCAUGAUAACACAUGAUUAAAGACGGUUUUAAUCCAAGUAAUACCAAGAAGGACGCCAUUGUUCGAGUUUGAGUUAGUAAGUUUUGAGGUAUUUCAUGCUUACCUUCUUUUUGUUUCAUCCGUGAUUUUUAUUUUUUUAUUAUUUUUAUUAUGUUUUACUCAAAAUUUCUUUUUAUUUUUGUGUGGAGUUAGGGUUCCGAUUUAGGGUUCUAAUUCUUUUCAUAAUCAUAUAGUUUGGUUUUAUUUUAUUGUUAGUAAUUUGAUCGCUUGAUUUGAUUUCAACAGUAGGAUUUCAUGUUUAGCUAUUGCUUUGCAUUUUCAGAUUUUGUUAGUUUCAGCUUUAUUUGUAUACCAUUGUAUUAGUUUAAUGGUACAUUUAAUAGUAGAAUUCCUAUUAUUUACAGUUAAAUUUUUGUUUGAUUAGCUAGAUUAGUUAGUUCAGAUUUUAAUCGUUGUUUGGUUAUAGCUGAUUAGUUUCUAGUCUUUUAGUUAGUUAACCAUGGUUAGUUUGGCCAGAGUAAAAGGGGGCUGGGGUUUGGUUUGGCUACAGUAGUAAUUCAGAAUCCAAAUUAAGGGUAUUUUAGGUAUUUUACCUAAAGAAUCUAUUAGUUAGAAACACCUAGAGUCUUCUAGAUGGGGUUCAAAGUAGAAUUUCAAGAAACCUAAUGCAGUAACUUGAGAAAGAAGUGAGAAAAUAAGCUACUAUUUGGGUAAAACUGAAAAAAAAAAAGAGGGACUAAGGGUGUAAAGCUGAAAAUCGGAGAUAACCCUCAAGUUUGCCUAUAAAAGACAUGCAUUCUGCCUUCAUUCACAAGUUUCAGAAUCUAAAAAUUUGAAUUUCAAAUUCAAAAGCCACACUUGAAAUUUAGAGUUAGAAAAUCUAUUCUAGAUCUAGUUCUUCAAAACCAAAAGAAAAAUAACAGAAAACAAAAUAAAAUACUGCUAUUGAGUUUCUUAGAUCAAUUUCAAGUUUAGAAAUUGUUUCAAGUUCCUAGCUUAGUAUAAAGAGGGGAUAGGCUUGAAAGUCCUUGUGCUUGGCUGCUGAAGUUUCACAGUACAUUUCUGGGUUCAAUUUCAAGUUUGUUUGGUGUUACUCAAGUUGUUUUGGUUGGUUGAUUGGUUGAUUUAUUGUUAAAACAGUUCCUGGGUUUUGGGACUGGAAUCCAUUGUUGCUUGCUGUAGUUGUAUUUUUGUUGAUCUGUUGUUGUAGCUGACUGUCAUUUCUCAUCAUUUUAUUCAAUUCCAGGUACACUUUCUGAAUUCGAUCUAAUGUAGCUCUCAAGUUGAAAACGAGAUGAUAUGAAGUUGAUAUGGAAUUCCUUAUAGAUGUUGUUUUGUUUUGUAUGUUGUGAGCUCUUUGAUAUGGCUUAGUGUUCAUGUUAAUUAAUAUUGAACUAUAGAAAAUGAUAUAUUGCAAUUUGGUUUCGAACUCUAGUGGUUUAAGUAGAAUUCUAUAAGUUUAUGCUAAUUUGCACGUUUGAUCCUGUGUAUUGAAUAAUUGUUUACUCUUACACUCAUUACUAGUUGAUUCGGAAGUCUACUAUAAAGUUUUAUCUAAAUUUGAAAUCAGAUGGUAGAUUGGAUUGGUUAGUUAGCACUGUUUUCCUUUCUGCCAAUUAACAAGUGAUAGGACUAAUAAAAAAUAAAAUCAUGUACCCUAUUGGUUGUCAUUGUUGAUCUGUCCAGUUAAAUUGAAAUUUAAGGGUAGCUAACUAGUGAAUUGAAUUAAUGGAUUGUCAAUGUUCAGAGUCCCAAAUUAGAUGAUAAAUUGGUAAAUUACAUACUUCUACACUAAUGAUGAUUUCAUCCAGACUGUCACGUAAUGUUGGAUUGUGAAACUAGGCCGAAAGUCGAGCCUGGUACUUAAUAAGAAGUCCCAGCUGGACCAGUGCAUUUUGUAGCCCUGAAUUGGGCUUGUGUUGAAGCCCAAGGCUAAACAGCCUCUUGUACGAGCUGAAUCUAAAGCCCGGAAUGAUAAGGUCUUGGCAUCCUAUUUGUUUCGGUUUCAUUUUGCAAAUUAGUUUGGGCCUUCAAUUCAGGGCAACAGACUCGACUUAUUAGUUUCAACAACACAAAUUCCCUUUGUUUAAGUUUGGGCUUAAGCAUAUUUAGAUUACAUUGCAUAACGAUUAAUCCA